GACGAACGCUGGCGGCGUGCUUAACACAUGCAAGUCGAACGGAAAGGCCCUGCUUUUGUGGGGUGCUCGAGUGGCGAACGGGUGAGUAACACGUGAGUAACCUGCCCUUGACUUUGGGAUAACUUCAGGAAACUGGGGCUAAUACCGGAUAGGAGCUCCUGCUGCAUGGUGGGGGUUGGAAAGUUUCGGCGGCUGGGGAUGGACUCGCGGCUUAUCAGCUUGUUGGUGGGGUAGUGGCUUACCAAGGCUUUGACGGGUAGCCGGCCUGAGAGGGUGACCGGCCACAUUGGGACUGAGAUACGGCCCAGACUCCUACGGGAGGCAGCAGUGGGGGAUAUUGCACAAUGGGCGGAAGCCUGAUGCAGCAACGCCGCGUGCGGGAUGACGGCCUUCGGGUUGUAAACCGCUUUCGCCUGUGACGAAGCGUGAGUGACGGUAAUGGGUAAAGAAGCACCGGCUAACUACGUG
rnacentral:rRNA from 1 species